CGGGUGAGUAAUACAUAAGUAACCUGCCCUAGACAGGGGGAGUAACUAUUGGAAACGAUAGCUAAGACCGCAUAGGUACGGACACUGCAUGGUGACCGUAUUAAAAGUGCCUCAAAGCACUGGUAGAGGAUGGACUUAUGGCGCAUUAGCUGGUUGGCGGGGUAACGGCCCACCAAGGCGACGAUGCGUAGCCGACCUGAGAGGGUGACCGGCCACACUGGGACUGAGACACGGCCCGG
rnacentral:rRNA from 1 species